rnacentral:tRNA from 1 species
GGGGGUGUGCCCGAGUGGUUAAAGGGGCCUGGCUGUAAACCAGGUGCGUAAGCUACGUAGGUUCGAAUCCUACCGCCCCCA